GUCUGGAUUUUUUGUUGUUAUUCUGUCUCUCACUGUUCAAAUGAACCUACCACUAAAAUUAUAGACUGAUCAUUUCUUUCUUUCCUCAUUGUGUGUGUGUGUGUGUGUG